rnacentral:sRNA from 1 species
GAAUGCAUUAAAUGGAUGCAUUGAGAUUCCGUAAGUAACUC